AGGCCCAUCUAAUAGGGUACAGUUACAAUAUAGGGUACAGUUACAUUGUUACGGUACAGUUACAUUAUAGGGUACAGUUACAUUAUAGGGUACAGUUACAUUGUUAGGGUACAGUUACAUUAUAGGGUACAGUUACAUUAUAGGGUACAGUUACAUUGUUAGGGUACAGUUACAUUAUAGGGUACAGUUACAUUAUAGGGUACAGUUACAUUGUUAGGGUACAGUUACAUUAUAGGGUACAGUUACAUUAUAGGGUACAGUUACAUUAUAGGGUACAGUUACAUUGUUAGGGUACAGUUACAUUAUAGGGUACAGUUACAUUAUAGGGUACAGUUACAUUAUAGGGUACAGUUACAUUAUAUAAAAUCAUGUAAAAAAACCAAAAACUAGCCAAAGAUAUAUUUUUGAUGUACGUAUUUGACCCUCUUAUGCACCUAUGAUUGUAUCCUAAUAUCAACAUUUCUUAUAGUUAAGUGACUAGUUAGGGUACCUGUCAACUGAACUGAAUUGAAGCGAAGCGGAGACCGUGUUGAGCGGAUCAAACAGAUUAUUAAUGCGUCACGCCACUGCUGGAAUUUUUAAAAACCUAAAUUCACACGAAGAGACACAGCUAGUAUUUUAAUAAUAUGUUUAACUGGUGUGUUAAUCAUCAAACAUCUCCACUCCGCUCCGCUUCAGUUGACAGACACUUAGUGUAAAUCUGCCAAAAGAUAAAAAGCACUAUUUUCCUGUAGUAUGUUCUAUGAAACAUGUCCGUCUAUAGCUGGCUAGUGUUCAACUUUCCUUUUUUGUGUAAAUCAGUAUUGUUCUAGUCAUUGGGACUAAUAAAAAAAUUACACUUUUCUUAAUAAUACAUGGCAUACUAUGCCUUCAGGUAAAAUAACCCUUUUAUAUUAAUCUCACUUUUAAUUCACAUUUUGAUAAAUAAAUGAUUUUCUAUUCAGUGAUUUGUACCUUGAAAUGCUCAUGAAAAAAACUCUUUACCUGACGGCAUCUGCAUGAGUAGUGUUCUUAUUUUUAUGUUAGUAAAGAAUAUAGAUUAUAAUAAUAGUUAUAACAUUUUAAUUAGUGUAAAUAAGACUUAAGUAUUAUAAAUCUGGCCUGUGGCCCCAAAUCUAGGUAAGUGGAGCGGGGGGAUGUGUUAGGUCUUCAAAUGAACGCCCCGAUUGUUUAUGAAAAACGUAAUAAUCGUAAUCAGUAGCAAAUUCUGCCUCAUGAUUGGCUGUG